rnacentral:lncRNA from 1 species
ACCCUCUUAGGGUGCUUUUAUUUCCUCUUUACUUUCAGCCCUAGGGGGAAUGGAGGAUGUGAAGACUGUGAAGCGCUAAGUGAUGCUCUUAUGAUCCUGAAGGACUACUGCAGCCUCUGGACCAUUCCAAAUAAAGGAGGAAGAGAGAUUUCAGGCAUUUUGAAGAAGACCCUGGAGCCAGUGAAUGUUUGGAUGAGGAACCCAUCUCAGAACCAUAUGGGAUGCUGAAGAACUCAGAGAAUCAGGGCAGCGAUCAGCACUCUUCAAAUAUUCUUUCUCACACUCCUGACUACCUGUUGCCAAAGAAAGUCCAGCCAGAGACCUGAGUUUUGUCUGAGAAAGGUUAUCUGUAAAAGGAAGGAAGAUGAAUAAGAUCCUAAGAGGACUGCCAAAUCUGAGAUUUACCCCAGUG